CUGGCUCAGAACGAACGCUGGCGGCGUGCUUAAUACAUGCAAGUCGUGCGAGAAAGUACCCUUCGGGGUGCGAGUAGAGCGGCAAACGGGUGAGUAACACGUAAGUAACCUACCUCUAAAUCUGGAAUAACUCUGCCAACGCGGAGCUAAUACCGGAUGUGGUCACGAUGCUGCAUGGUAUUGUGACUAAAGGUGACCUCUCCUUGGAAGUUACCGUUUAGAGAUGGGCUUGCGGACCAUUAGCUAGUUGGUGAGGUAACGGCUCACCAAGGCUACGAUGGAUAGCCGGCCUAAGAGGGUGAUCGGCCACAUUGGGACUGAGAUACGGCCCAGACUCCUACGGGAGGCAGCAGUAGGGAAUUUUGCGCAAUGGACGAAAGUCUGACGCAGCAACGCCGCGUGAGGGAUGACGGCCUUCGGGUUGUAAACCUCUGUUGAGUGGGAAGAAAAGCUUUGUGGUUAAUAUCCACAGAGUCUGACGGUACCACUCGAGGAAGCUCCGGCUAACUACGUGCCAGCAGCCGCGGUAAUACGUAGGGGGCUGGCGUUGUUCGGAAUCACUGGGCGUAAAGGGAGUGUAGGCGGACCGGUAAGUUAGGAGUUAAAUGUACGGGCUCAACCCGUGAUCUGCUUUUAAUACUGUCGGUCUUGAGUAUGGGAGAGGGAGAUGGAAUUCCAGGUGUAGCGGUGGAAUGCGUAGAUAUCUGGAAGAACACCAGUUGCGAAGGCGGUCUCCUGGACCAAUACUGACGCUGAUGCUCGAAAGCUGGGGGAGCGAACAGGAUUAGAUACCCUGGUAGUCCCAGCCGUAAACGAUGGACACUAGUUGCCGGAGGAGUCAAUCCCUUCGGUGACGAAGCUAACGCAUUAAGUGUCCCGGCUGGGGAGUACGCUCGCAAAGGUGAAACUCAAAGGAAUUGACGGGGGCCCCGNACAAGCGGUGGAGCAUGUGCUUUAAUUCGAUGCAACG
rnacentral:rRNA from 1 species